UGUGUAUAUUUAUAUACAUGGAUGCCUUAGGAGUUGUUGAACUCAUCUAUUUUGAACCAAAAAUAUCUAGAGAAAGGGGGAAGACCCGUGAGAGAGAGAGAGAGAGUUCUUGAGGGAACUCAAAGAGGGAGGAGGGAAGGCUUGGAGAUUGAAGAGCUUUAAGGGGGGAAUUCAAGGAUUUGGGUUAAGGUCAAGAUGAGGACAUCGUUCCACCGCUAUCAGAGACCUACCGCUGUAACCAACUGGAAAGCCAGUCCUAACUAGCGGUGCAACUUGGGCGGGCUCAACCCGAGCAACUCGAGCCCAGCCCGAAAUUUUUUAGGGCUUGGACAAAAUAUUUUCAAAUUCGGUACGGGCUUGGGCAAAAAUUUAGAAGCCCGAAUUAAAUUUGGACGGGCUUGGGCAAAGACGUCGAACAACCUGAGCAACCCGAAGCCCGAAUUAUACAUAUAUAGAUAUAUAAAAAUAUUAAAUAUACAUAUAAAUUAUUAGUCAUUAUAUGAUAUUAAAGUAAUUUAUAUUAUUAAAUCAUAUUGAAUAUAUAUUAUAUAUACAAAUAACAUAAAAUCUUACUUUUUUUUCUUUUUAUUUUCAUUCAUAAUUGUAAGGAUUACUAUUGUGGCACCUCUCUUACAUUAUAUAAAUUAUUUAUUUUGAUGGUAUUAAUGAUUUUCUAUUAAAAAAAUUUAAAAUAAAUUCAAAUUUUAAUAAUUUAAUAAUGUAGCUGCAAAA